UACGUAGGGUGCGAGCGUUGUCCGGAAUUAUUGGGCGUAAAGAGCUUGUAGGCGGUUUGUCGCGUCUGCCGUGAAAAUUCGAGGCUCAACCUCGAACUUGCGGUGGGUACGGGCAGACUAGAGUGUGGUAGGGGAGACUGGAAUUCCUGGUGUAGCGGUGAAAUGCGCAGAUAUCAGGAGGAACACCGAUGGCGAAGGCAGGUCUCUGGGCCGAUAUCGACGUGAGGAGCGAAAGCGUGGGGAGCGAACAGG
rnacentral:rRNA from 1 species